UCGGAUAUGGUGUAACGGCCAACAUUGCCGCCUCUCAUUUCGUCCCUGGUAUUGUCUGCGCGGCAGCUCGGGGUUCGAUUCCCCGUAUCCGAA